rnacentral:rRNA from 1 species
CUGGCUCAGGAUCAACGCUGGCGGCGUGCCUAAUGCAUGCAAGUCGAACGGGGUGGCCUUCGGGUCACUCACGUGGCGGACGGGUGAGGAGCACGUGGGCAACCUGCCCACCGGUGGGGGGUAGCCCUCGGAAACGAGGGGUAAUUCCGCAUGAGUUCAGGGGCCGCGUUGGGUCGCUGAGGAAAGGCCUUUUCGGAGGUCGCCGGUGGAGGGGCUUGCGUCCGAUUAGUUAGUUGGUGGGUAGGGGCCUACCAAGGCGAUGAUCGGUAGCUGGUUUGAGAGGAUGAUCAGCCACACGGGGACUGAGACACGGCCCCGACUCCUACGGGAGGCAGCAGCAAGGAAUUUUCCGCAAUGGGGGGAACCCUGACGGAGCAACGCCGCGUGCGGGAUGACGCCUUUCGGGGUGUAAACCGCUGUUCAUGGGGACGAAGCACUGACGGUACCCAUGGAGGAAGGCCCGGCUAACUACGUGCCAGCCGCGGC